UACGUAGGGUGCAAGCGUUAAUCGGAAUUACUGGGCGUAAAGCGUGCGCAGGCGGUGAUGUAAGACAGGUGUGAAAUCCCCGGGCUUAACCUGGGAACUGCAUUUGUGACUGCAUCGCUGGAGUGCGGCAGAGGGGGAUGGAAUUCCGCGUGUAGCAGUGAAAUGCGUAGAUAUGUGGAGGAACACCGAUGGCGAAGGCAGCCCCCUGGGAUAACACUGACGCUCAUGCACGAAAGCGUGGGGAGCAAACAGG
rnacentral:rRNA from 1 species